UCUACCCGCUCUAUAGGGUUUAGCAAAAACCAUUUCUUCAAGGAAAAACAAAAACAAAAGCAAGGGACACAGAAAAGAAUGGCGACUAAAGCCCUAGUUCGAACCGGAGCGUCGCUGAUGAAUCGGGUGAUGGCGAAUCCGGUUUUCAAUCCCCACCCGAUUUCCAGCAACCGAAUCUUGAAUCAAGGCUUCCAAAUCACUCCUCAGCUGUUAUCGUCUCUCUCGAAGCAACAACCCUCUCUCCGUUUGCCUCAAACCGACGCCGAUUUCCUCUCUAAUGUCUCCUCUCUGGGGUUUCUCUAUCCCAAUGGCCUCCCUUCACUCCGCUUCUUACUGCCCGAUGGAGAUUCAUCAAGGGAGCCAAUGCUAUUAUUUCCCAAAAGAACAUAUCAGCCUAGUCACAUCAGGCGUAAGAGGAAUCAUGGAUUUUUUGCUCGCAAGGCGACGAAGGGUGGCCGCAGAGUCAUUGCUCGAAGAAUAGCAAAGGGUCGUGCAAGAAUUACUGCUUAGCAUCUUCUUUUGUUUUGGUUAUGUUUUGAUCAGAAUCAAAUCUAGAAGCUGCCUGAAAUACGGUACAAGUAUUCAAUCUCAUGAUCUAGUGCAAGGUUGAUAAUUAGGAUGCUUGGUAUCUAAAAGCAGACAAUGUUCAAAUUUCAUAGCUAAACAACGAAGUACUCAGAAUUAGGUAUUCAGUCUCAUUUGUUGUUUUGCUCUCGGUUCUAAAAAUUGUUAGUAAGAUAUAAGUAAAUUGGUAUUAGUAUUUUGGUAUUUUCAAAUACAAUAUAUAUAUAUAUAUAUUUGGUAUAAAGGAGGUGGUAGCAUAGAGAUAGGGAAAUGAGUUGUAGAUAUUGUGAUUUGAAUAUUAAACCUAUGAGAUGUCAUAUAAUGAUUGCAUGAAUCAACUUAAGGCUCCAAAAUUCAUAAAAAUACUAAAUAUUUUAGAAAAAGAGAAGUAACAUAUCUAACCUCAGCUUCUUUGGUUGUGGUAUUCAUCUAUUAGUUUUUGCAUAGUUUGUCCUUAUGAAGAUAUCACACAUUGUGCUCUUACUCGAGUUUGGAUUCGUUACAAGAGCUUGCAUGGACCUUAAUGACACAGGAGCUUGCCUUUGGACCUGACGACCACGGAAUAUAGCUUAAAUUCUUACUCGUGCUUUCUAGGCCCUUAGAUUUUGUCUUGCCUAGCAUUUCACCUUAUUAUGUGAAACAUAAUUUCCUUUGCAAAAGAAGGCAUUUAAAAGUGGAUGGAUAAAUUUUAACCAAAACGCUCUUAAAGUCCAGUAAAUUGAAAGAAGACAUUAAACUCUAAUUCCAGUGUUACGAUGAAUAUAGUUUUAAUCAAAUUUGUUUCAAAACUGAUUGAAACCUUCAAAAAUUUUUGGGACAAUAUUGAUGAAUACAAACAACUAUAGUUUUAUCAAUGCUCAACAAUUACAAAAGUUGUAUUUCAAUUUUCAACGAUAUUUUGUGGCCAAAACACUCACAGAUUGAAAAAAAAUCAGAGAACAAUUCUUUAAGCUUAAAUGCUAUUCCUUCCACCCAAAAGAUCUUGACAGACACUAUUAAUAGUUCUCCUAGGAUUUUUAUAUACUUGGUGGAUUCAAUGAUGUCAACCUGAAGCAAGUUUUUUUCAAUUCUAUUCUAAAAGAACUUGCACAACAAAUAAGCACUUAGCCCAACCUAAGAUCUUUUGAUGUUAAAAUCAUGAAUCUUGGUGAUAUAUAGAAGAUGAUGAUAAAAACCUUUGAUAAGAUUUGCAAAGAGCACAAAUAUAUCGCUAACUUGGUGAACAACUCCAGAAAGCUAAAAAGAUUAUGCUUUUACUCAUCCUCUAGACUCUAAAUCAAAUACUCAUCCAAGGGCUCUAUUUGUCUUUGCAAUCAGAGAAAAAAGAAACACAUCAAAAGAUUCAAAUCUCCC